rnacentral:pre_miRNA from 1 species
AAUAUGUGACGCCGUUGAAUUUUUAAAACAUGUUUGACCGUUCGUCUUAUUCAAAAAACUUAUCUAAUUAUUAAUUAUUUUCCUAUCAUUUGAUUUAUUGUUAAAUAUAAUUUUAUGUAUACAUAUAGUUUUAUAUAUUUCACAAAAGUUUUUGAAUAAGACGAACAAUCAAACAUGUUUAAAAAAGUCAACGGCGUCAAAUAUU